rnacentral:tRNA from 1 species
GGGGGAUUAGCUCAGUUGGGAGAGCACAAGCUUUGCAAGCUUGGGGUCACCGGUUCGAAUCCGGUAUCCUCCA